rnacentral:rRNA from 1 species
AACGCGAAGAACCUUACCCAGGCUUGACAUCCUCUGUAAGCCGUAGAAAUACGGUCCUCAUCGCAAGAUGACAGGGAGACAGGUGCUGCAUGGCUGUCGUCAGCUCGUGCCGUGAGGUGUUGGGUUAAGUCCCGCAACGAGCGCAACCCUCGUCGCGUGUUGGUCCGCAAGGAUCUCUCACACGAGACCGCCGGUGAGAAGCCGGAGGAAGGUGGGGAUGACGUCAAGUCAGCAUGGCCCUUACGUCUGGGGCUACACACGUGCUACAAUGGAUGCGACAACGAGUUCCAAACUCGCGAGGGUAAGGCAAUCUCUUAAACGCAUCCUCAGUUCGGAUUGAAGGCUGCAACUCGCCUUCAUGAAGUCGGAAUCGCUAGUAAACGCAGAUCAGCUACGCUGCGUUGAAUACGUUCCCGGGCCUUGUACACACCGAGACGAC